rnacentral:rRNA from 1 species
UACGAAGGGGGCUAGCGUUGUUCGGAAUCACUGGGCGUAAAGCGCACGUAGGCGGAUUGUUAAGUCAGGGGUGAAAGCCUGGAGCUCAACUCCAGAACUGCCUUUGAUACUGGCAAUCUCGAGUCCGGAAGAGGUAAGUGGAACUGCGAGUGUAGAGGUGAAAUUCGUAGAUAUUCGCAAGAACACCAGUGGCGAAGGCGGCUUACUGGUCCGGUACUGACGCUGAGGCGCGAAAGCUAGGGGAGCAAACAGGG